UCCCUGAUGGUCCAGUGGCUAAGACCUCGUGCUCUCAAAUGCAGGGGCCCGGGUUCGAUCCCUGGUCAGGGAA
rnacentral:tRNA from 1 species